UAUCCGUUGGUGAACCAGCGGAGGGAUCAUUACCGAAGUUACCUUCAAAACCCACUGUGAACCUUACCUCUUGCCGCGUUGUCUCGGCGGGAGGCGGUGUGCGUCGCGCGCCCUAGCGGGCCGCGCCGCUCCCGUCCCCGCCGGCAGCGCCAAACUCUAAAUGCACAGCGGACUGUUCGUACUGAUUUACAAAAAAAAACAAGUUAAAACUUUCAACAACGGAUCUCUUGGUUCUG
rnacentral:misc_RNA from 1 species